ACCUUUAACUAAGCAGUGCCAGGUGUGAAGGGGCUGUGCUGCUCUGUGCCCCGCAGCUUGCUGCCUGCAGCUGCCAGCUGGGAGGCCCUGGGCAGCACGGUGUGCCCAGGGCCCUGCGCUCUUGGAAGGGGCACUCUUCCAGACUGCUAACAUCUUGGGCUUGGGGCUGGCCAGCCUAACUCAGGUGUCUGGCUUUGCCACCUAACUUGCACUUAGAUUUUAUGUCCUGUACAAAGCAGUCUUGCUAAGAGUCAGUGCUCCCCUCCUACUGAGUGGACAGAGAGGCAGGAGUCUGCACUUUGGAGCACUCCUGGAGGCUUUCAGAAGACCUGUUUUGUUUGCUCCACAGAGCAUGGGCCUUUAUCACAUGAUUCUGCUUUCUAGGGCGCCUUAUAGUUGAGGGGCUGGUAGGUUAGGUGAUUUGGGUUCUGCUCUCAGACAUGGUUUUGCACACUAGCAAUUGAUGGGCAGGACCGUGUAGGCGGGCUGCAGGGGCUCAGAGGAAUGCCUCAAGACAGGUACGUGCACUGUUGAAGGCACCGCUGCAGGUUUGGCCGAAACGUGCUCUCUCACCACAGGCAAGUUCCCUAUCACCUCUCCUGAAGAUGCACCUUUGCUGGAGCAUAAGGAAGCCUCCAACGCCUUGACUCACCACAAAGUCUACUCAACAAAAAGAACGCCGUGCACAUUGGAGUGGCUCCAGAGAAGGGGACACCUGGAUCAGUUUUGAAGUGGAGCAAUGCUGCCAAAGAAGAAGUAAAAAAAGUUUUGUUCUUCAACAUCAAGUGAAAAUCAUAAAAGUAUAGAAUGGCCUGGUUCGAUGAGAUCUUAAAGACCAUCUCAUUCCAACUCUCCUGCUGAAGGCAGGGACACCUUUCACUAAGUCAGGUUGCUGUGAGUUCCCUUCAACGUGGCCUUGAACACUUCCAGGACUGGAGCAUCCACAACUUCUCUGGGCAACUUGUACCAAUGCCUUACAACCCUGCCAGUAAAUAAAUUUUUCCUAGUGGAUGAUUUCCUAAUAUACUCUUUUUCAGUUUGAAUCCA